CCUGCUUCGGCAGCACAUACUAAAAUUGAAAUGAUACAGAGAAGAUUAGUAUGAGCCCUGUGCAAGCAUGACACACAGAUUUGUUAAGUGUUCCAUAUUUAU
rnacentral:snRNA from 1 species